GCGCGAGGGGUGGAAUUGGUAGACACGCAUGCCUUAGGAGCAUGUACCGCAAGGUGUGAAGGUUCAACUCCUUUCUCGCGCACCA
rnacentral:tRNA from 1 species